rfam:Lupinus angustifolius cultivar Tanjil contig_12105, whole genome shotgun sequence.
CGUUGUGAUCAUACCAGCACUAAUGCACCGUAUCCCAUAAGUACUCCACAUUUAUGUAUGCUUGGAUGAGAGUAGCACCAGGAUGAGUGACCUCCUGGGAAGUCCUCUUGUUGCACCUC